GCCGACGUAGCUCAGUGGUAGAGCAAUGGUUUUGUAAACCAUUGGUCGGGUGUUCAAAUCACCCCGUCGGCU
rnacentral:tRNA from 4 species